rnacentral:rRNA from 1 species
UACGAAGGGUGCAAGCGUUACUCGGAAUUACUGGGCGUAAAGCGUGCGUAGGUGGUUCGUUAAGUCUGAUGUGAAAGCCCUGGGCUCAACCUGGGAAUGGCAUUGGAAACUGGCGACCUAGAGUGCGGUAGAGGGUAGUGGAAUUCCCGGUGUAGCAGUGAAAUGCGUAGAGAUCGGGAGGAACACCAGUGGCGAAGGCGACACGCUGGGCCGUACCUGACACUGAUGCGCGACAGCAUGGGGAGCAAACAGG